rnacentral:rRNA from 1 species
UACCAGCACCCCGAGUUGUCGGGACGAUUAUUGGGCCUAAAGCAUCCGUAGCCUGUUCUACAAGUCCUCCGUUAAAUCCACCUGCUCAACAGAUGGGCUGCGGGGGAUACUAUAGGGCUAGGAGGCGGGAGAGGCAAACGGUACUCAGUGGGUAGGGGUAAAAGUACCGUUGAUCCAUAGAAGACCACCAGUGGCGAAGGCGGCUUGCCAGAACGCGCUCGACGGUGAGGGAUGAAAGCUGGGGGAGCAAACCGG